GACGAACGCUGGCGGCGUGCCUAAUACAUGCAAGUUGAGCGCUGAAGGUUGGUACUUGUACCAACUGGAUGAGCAGCGAACGGGUGAGUAACGCGUGGGGAAUCUGCCUUUGAGCGGGGGACAACAUUUGGAAACGAAUGCUAAUACCGCAUAAAAACUUUAAACACAAGUUUUAAGUUUGAAAGAUGCAAUUGCAUCACUCAAAGAUGAUCCCGCGUUGUAUUAGCUAGUUGGUGAGGUAAAGGCUCACCAAGGCGAUGAUACAUAGCCGACCUGAGAGGGUGAUCGGCCACAUUGGGACUGAGACACGGCCCAAACUCCUACGGGAGGCAGCAGGAGGGAAUCUUCGGCAAUGGACGAAAGUCUGACCGAGCAACGCCGCGUGAGUGAAGAAGGUUUUCGGAUCGUAAAACUCUGUUGGUAGAGAAGAACGUUGGUGAGAGUGGAAAGCUCAUCAAGUGACGGUAACUACCCAGAAAGGGACGGCUAACUACGUG
rnacentral:rRNA from 1 species